UUUAAAUAUGAAUUAUGUAAGAUUUUAUGCUCAAAUAUACAUUAUUUACAUACGCAUACUUCAUGUUUAACUUAACAUAUUUGAUUCAACUGAAAAGAGAAGUAUUAAUAGUAACAUUUCUAACUUCAUUAUUUAUGGUAUGUGUCAUCAGAACAUUCGCUUACAAGUGUCGUUAAGUAUGAGUAUACGUACUUGAUUUUGAACUCACCGAAAGGAGUGACCUGUUGUUAAGCGGAAGUAAUGCAUUUUUUAAUCACCUUAAACGACCACGAAGUUAUUUUCAAUAAUCCAGAGAGAACCAGAUCGCAACUUCGGUCUACAUUAAGAACGAGCGAGGUAGGUGUAAGAUGGCCGCCAAGAUCGAAGACCAACCUAACCGGCUGUACUAGACCGCAGUGCAAUAUGAAGUAGCACCGAAUCAACGACGAUGGAUUCGCUGCUAAGAUGUUACUUAUUGGAUUAUAACAAGAACUGAUGAGCCAGGUAUGUGCUAGAUGGACUCCUGGUUCGAAGGUCAACCUUAUAUAAGCUCGAAGUUCAGCCUUAUAGUGUGCCGACGACGAUGGAUUCGCUACUUCUCACUUUUUCUGCACGUAUUUUGACACGAAAUUUGGAGACAACAGUCCGAGGAAAAAUGUCCCUGAACACUCCACAGCGUUCGAUGAAUACUCUCCGACGAAGAUGUAUUGGACUAAUACAGUGUAAAAAACAAACGGCACUAUAAAGAGAACAUGGCUAACCUUUUCGUACAAAACAACUUGACGGGGACUUGACAGGAUAUACAAUUGCAAGAAAAACAAAUAUCGAGAACUUACUUGAAAUUGAUAUCGUUGUGUAUAGUGCAUUGAAUCUAACUUACUGGUGUUCCAAAACGCUUACGACAAAUUUAUCUUUCGCAGUUUUUGCGUAUUUUUUCAAUUCAAAAUCUACUGGAAUUGUCUACCCAGUAAGUUUUAAAUAACAUCGAUAUAAUUGUCACGUGAUUUUCGCAUGUUACUUAUACACAUAACAUCGUUUUCCAAAAGGACGGACAGUGCAAUAAAGCGGAAAACUGCUGCAAAAAAUGUAGAUACAGAGUCCGACAGGUUGAUUUCGGUGAUGAAGUUAAUCGAUGAAAUUUUUUAAAGAGAUUACCACUGCUGAAGCUGACAGGGCGUUAGCUAAAACAAGUUUGACUGGUUAAUGUAUGGAACGAUCACGUGACUUGCAAAAUGUUCAGAAAAACGAACAUACCGAGCUGUUUAUGAACGGAGAAACUUGGCUGGGACCGGCUGUGAGACAACUGUUGUGCUUAUUCUUCAAAUCAUGUAAAAUGAUGUAUUAUCGGUCUCAUUCUAGCUCGUUUUGACAAGUAUAUGCUUGUUUUGAGGAAAUACUAUAUUCGCCGAUUUGGGGACCAUCUAGUUUCUAGUCCGAAAUGUUGACAUUAUUAUAAAAAUAUUUGUUUGUGGUGGUGUAUAUAGUGUGUAUUAAGUAUUGAACGUAUUAAAGUUUAGUCAGAAUGUGAA